rnacentral:lncRNA from 1 species
AAUCAUUAUUUUGUUUAAGUAAAAGUAGUUAGAUGGAAGGGUAACUGUAUGGCGAGUGGAGAUGUAAUGGCGGCGAUGAUGUCGCUGUCGCAGUUGUGUUGGGAUGAAAGUUGUUUCGGGUAUAAAAGUGUGCGAAUACCUGUGGUAGCGAUGACGUCAUCACUGUUAUUCACGCACAUCCAAACAGGAAACAACUUUCAUCACAAUAUAACUGCGACAGUAACGUUUCGCCGCCAUGACACCUCUAUUCGCGCACCUCAAUAUAGGAAACAACUUUCAUCUCUAUAGAGAGGUGUGACGUCAUGGCCACCAUGACACCGCUAUUCUCCAUAGAGUUACCCUCCCAUCUAACUUGUAAGUACUAGUAAACAUGAAUUAACUUA